CUCGGUUUCGGAGUGUGUGUUUUCUACAAAUGAUUGCACAUUAUGAAAAGCAGCUAGAGCAUCCUUAAUUUCUGCCGUUGUCAUAGGGUCAUAAUCCUCCUCCUCGCCACUGCUAGAGAACUCUUCUUGAACAAUGUUAUGUUGCAUGGCCUCCAACUCCUUCAGGUCAUCCGUCGUAAGCUCCUGUUGGUGCGCCUCGAGAAGGGAAUUGAUGUCGUCCUCGUCGACGACCAGCCCCAUGGACUUGCCGAGUGCAACAAUCUUGUCAAGAUCUGGUUGCGAAACAGUUUCAGGAUCGUCAACUGUUCCUGAAUCUGCAGCACCAGCUUCACCCAUGUCGAAUCCCUCGAAGUUAGGGCGGCUACGGCAUCAGGCCAGAGUUUCCUCCACGAAGAAUUCAAGGUUCGCCUCGAAACCUCCCGCCAAGCUUGAUCAAUGAGUCGGAUGCAUAUCACAGCAUCGAAAUGCUCCUUCCAAAAUUCAUGCAAGGUGAGGUUUGUGGUAUCGGUGAUGUCGAAACAUCUCUUGAAAAGAUGUUUUGUAUACAGCUUCUUGAAGUUCGAUAUCACUUGCUGGCCCAUGGGCUGGAGGAGAGGGGUGGUGUUAGGUAGAAGAUAAAGAACCGUGAUAAACUAAUACUUCGCUAGGAUAUCUUCCUCGAGGCCAGGAGGGUGAGCAGGGGCAUUGUCUAACAGCAGACAUUUCAGAGGGAGGCGCUUCUCUUCCAAGAAUUUCUUCACUGUCGAUCCGAAACAUUCUCUUGAUCACUAAUCAUCUGAAAAGUUACAGAACUUCAACUGAUGUUGCUAUAGAACUUCAACUGAUGUUUCUGUCAAGUACAAAGGAAUCCUUCAGAGCAAUAGAGCACUGUCUACCUCCCAGCAAUAGAGCACUGUCUACCUCUGAACCCCUUGAAAUGUAGCUUAAUACUGCAACAUGACUCAGCAAUUCUCUUUAGCAGCAAUCAUCUGAAAUUUGUCAUACAUUUCUACAAACAGCAUAUGGGAAUUCAAUAGAGCGGAACAUAUCGCUCAUCUUUCAGAUUUUCCUUCCAAUCCUUCAGAGAUUACUUGGAGAUUCAUUAUCCUCAUCAUCAGUGACCUUCAAGCAAUAUCACUUUUGAUUCAAGAGAGACUACGUCUUCCGAAAUGUGUCUCGUGCCUAAGUCUAUGGCUUGGUGUUCACUAUCUUCAAAUGCAUUUGAAGUGACAUGGCUUAUAGGCAGUCUAAUCACACCAUUCUCGUAAAGAGAUUUCCAUAAUAUCAAAGGGUUACUGUUAUAUUAAAGUAUACAUGAACGAGACCUCUGUGAGUCACGCUACAAGACUAAUUAGAACUUCUUAGGGCUGUAUUCUUAAAUAAGAAUUAUAAAUGGAACAAGGUAAAAUUAAAGAAGUUAGACUUGAAAAUAAGAUACUAAAGGUAACUGAUGAAUAGUACGAGAGAGAGAGAAAGCAGUAAGUCUGGGGGUCAAAGUGAUACAAAAGAGAAUCAUUUGGUGGUAGCUGCAUUGUGCUGGGGCCCAGCUUAAAUGGUUAUUUAAAAAUAAUUUUCAUGACUAUUUUAAUUCCCUCAGUCACAUUUUUACUAAAGUUUUCCUCUUAUGAAUUUAGAUCUCCAAAGAGUUUACUCCCUUGUCUUAUAUUUUGUAGAAUUUUAGCCAGAAUUCCAUUGUUGUUCAGACCAUGGCUUGCACUUUGUUCCCAUUGCCUCAGUCUUAAACUUAGUUUUGCUUGCUUUCAUUAUUUUCAACUUUCCAGUCUUCCAUCUUUCAAACAAUGUAGUAAGAUAAGCUGAUUCAGCUGGUAAGACAAUGGGACUUGAUAACCUUUGCUUGCAUGUAUCAACCUACUGGACAGAGCUGUUCCUUUUGAAUCUACAGUGGACUAUGGUGCCAAUGACUUCUGACUACACAUAAAUUAGUCCAAGUUAAGGCAUGGGAUUAGGACCUAUAGGAUAAGUAAUAGUUUCUAAAAAAAUUUUUGGAUCGGAUUAUUGGGAAGAUAGACCCCUAAUGUCUUGAGCCAUGUAGUUCCUUCAUUCACGCGGGUAUAAGAUUCACCUCUCGCUUGAAUACAUCCUUUAGAUGAAGCUUAUGAAAGAAAAGAUGUAACUAUUUAAUAGUAAAAGUCUCUCUCUCUCUCUCUCUCUCUCUCUCUCUCUCUCUCUCUCUCUCUCUCUCUCUCUCUCUCUCAGCCAAAUAAUGUUCAAGUCGCACAGAAAUGAGCAAACCAUGGUGAUUUAUUUCAUGUUGGAUGCUCUUUAUGGAUAAUAGAUAACUCGAGAUAUAUAACAUGUAAGAGUAUGUCAUAAAGUUGAUUAUAUUUCAUAAUACUUUAGGUUCCAUGGUUGUAUAAUGUUUUUCUGCAGUAAUUGCAAAAGUUAGUUUUUUUAUGUUUCAGUGUAGUUCCGUCAUUUGGCCUUUAUCAUUUUCACCUCUUGCUUGAAUACAUCCUUCAGAUGAACCCUACGAUAGGAAAAUUGUAACUAGUCUUGUUUACAUGUUUUCUCUCUCUCUCUCUCUCUGUAGUUCCUGUAUUCACUCAGGUAUAACUUAAACCUCUCGCUAAAAUACUUCCUUCAGAUGAACCAUAUGAAAGGAUAAUUACGGUAUUUUAUCUCUCUCUCUCUCCGCUUGAAUAAGUCCUUCAGAUGAACCCUAUGAAAGGUUAAUAAUUCUCUCUCUCGCUCUCUCUCACACCGAAAUUGUUGAAGUCGUAUAGCAAACUAUGAUAAUGCAUUUCUUUCCACGAUGUAUUUAUGAAAGAUCAUAACUCCUAUGUUUAGCGUUUAAAAUUAAGUUGAAUGCUCUUUAUAAAUAGAUAAACUUGAGAUAUAUAAC